UCUGACACUAGUGAUGCAGAGAAGCUGCUGCGGGCUGCACAGACAGUUUUCUUAAACUCACCCCAUCCACUUGAGAUUCUAAGUGAUCGCUCAGCAUAUGGUUCUGAAGGAACCAUUCAAAGGGAUCACGACAUGAAUUCUUACUUGAAAUCUGUGCGCAGUGUAAUUCGGCAAGAGCUAAACCACAUAAGAAAACGUAGGAGAGAGCAUCGCCGCAAGUUCUGGUGGUCCCUUCUGGCACCACGUGGAAUCGGUGGUGGUGUCAUUGUGGAGAAGCCUGUGGUGUCUAUCAACAUAGGCGAACACCAUUUCAAUUUCUCUGGUGUCCUGCAGACUGGAAGGGAAUCCUUGAAAUUGUUGCAUCACAACAUAUGCAUUUGCUUGUGGUUCUGUUGUUUCCUGCAAGACUGCUAUUUCUGGGAGCAUGUAGAGUGAUAAAUUUCCAUUGACCAGCCUAUUAAUUUGAGUGUAUUGCAUUUGUGACAUGGAAUAUUGUAUAGGUUACAGGCACAUGGCCAGCAAGAUCAUUUAUUCAUUAGGUGAUUCUUUGUUCAUUGCUUUAGAAUAAAAAAAAAAGGGGAAAAAGAAGAUUCAAAUUCUCUGUAGUCCUUAGGAUUUAGAAUAUUGUUAUGUAGAAAGAAACUAGAAGCCAAUAUUUUGGUCCAUCAAGGUGUAAAAUUCUGACAGUAAUAUUUUUACAAGUGUUGGUGAUUGAUUGUAUCAGGGAC
rnacentral:misc_RNA from 1 species